UAGGGCCUCAGCUGGUCAAGGGGCAGCUCCAACUGCGUGAAAGUCGGCCAAAACAUCACGUCUGCCGAGCUUCCUUGGUCCACCAGCACCCUGUGGACCUUUCUUCCUGCUGUGAUCAGCGAAAUCACUAUGGGAUCGUUGUCAUGAGGCACAACAUCCCGAAGAUCUUGCUUGGUGAACGUAAUAUCCACUUCCGGCGAGUGGUCUUCAAAC
rnacentral:lncRNA from 1 species